GUGACUAUAGUUUAACGGCAAAACUCCGGGUUGUGAUCUCGGUAAUGAGGGUUCGAUUCCCUCUAGUCACC
rnacentral:tRNA from 1 species